UACAGAGGUCUCAAGCGUUUGUUCGGAUUCAUUGGGCGUAAAGGGUGCGUAGGCGGCGCGGUAAGUCGGGGUGUGAAAUCUCGGAGCUUAACUCCGAAACUGCAUUCGAUACUGCCGUGCUUGAGGACUGGAGAGGAGACUGGAAUUUACGGUGUAGCGGUGAAAUGCGUAGAUAUCGUAAGGAAGACCAGUGGCGAAGGCGGGUCUCUGGACAGUUCCUGACGCUGAGGCACGAAGGCCCAGGGGGAGCAAAACGGGG
rnacentral:rRNA from 1 species